rnacentral:rRNA from 1 species
CCUUACGGCCACACCAGUGUGAAUGCGCCCGAUCUCGUCUGAUCUUGGAAGCUAAACACACUUGGGCUCGAUCAGUACUUGGAUGUGAGACCGCCUGGGAACACCGAGUGCUGUAAGCU